GCAGUCGAGGGGCAGCGAGAGUGAUAGCAAUAUUACUUGUCGGCGACCGGCGCACGGGUGCGUAACGCGUAUGCAACCUACCAUCAACAGGGGGAUAACACUGAGAAAUUGGUACUAAUACCCCAUAAUAUCUCAUGCGGCAUCGCAUGGGGUUGAAAACUCCGGUGGUUGAUGAUGGGCAUGCGUUGUAUUAGCUGGUUGGUGAGGUAACGGCUCACCAAGGCGACGAUACAUAGGGGGACUGAGAGGUUAACCCCCCACAUUGGUACUGAGACACGGACCAAACUCCUACGGGAGGCAGCAGUGAGGAAUAUUGGUCAAUGGACGCAAGUCUGAACCAGCCAUGCCGCGUGCAGGAUGACGGCUCUAUGAGUUGUAAACUGCUUUUGUACGAGGGUAAACCCCGAUACGUGUAUCGGGUUGAAAGUAUCGUACGAAUAAGGAUCGGCUAACUCCGUGCCAGCAGCCGCGGUAAUACGGAGGAUCCGAGCGUUAUCCGGAUUUAUUGGGUUUAAAGGGUGCGUAGGCGGUUUGAUAAGUUAGAGGUGAAAUGUCGGGGCUCAACCCCGAAACUGCCUCUAAUACUGUUGGACUAGAGAAUAGUUGCGGUAGGCGGAAUGUAUGGUGUAGCGGUGAAAUGCUUAGAGAUCAUACAGAACACCGAUUGCGAAGGCAGCUUACCAAACUAUAUCUGACGUUGAGGCACGAAAGCGUGGGUAGCAAACAGGAUUAGAUACCCUGGUAGUCCACGCAGUAAACGAUGAUAACUCGUUGUCGGCGAUACACAGUCGGUGACUAAGCGAAAGCGAUAAGUUAUCCACCUGGGGAGUACGUUCGCAAGAAUGAAACUCAA
rnacentral:rRNA from 1 species